rnacentral:tRNA from 1 species
AAGACGCUAGUAAAAUCAUUACACUACCUUGUCGAGGCAGAAUUGUGGGUUGAACCCCCGCGCAUCUUA